AAAAAGGGCUUGUGCUGUGUUUAGCACAGGGACGGGGUGGGUUCUUGCCCUAUCUCUGCGGAAUCGAUAUCAAGAGAUUUCGGAAGCACAAUCUUUAUAAAACUGGGCUGUCGAUGAUCAUUGGUCUUGACGCCCUC